rnacentral:tRNA from 1 species
GAGCUCUGGUUUUACACACCAGCGGUCGGCGGUUCGAUCCCGUCCGCGCCCA